GUUGUAUAGUCAAGUAAUUAAGUGCAUGUGGUGGAUGCCUUGGCAGUCAGAGGCGAUGAAAGACGUGAUAGCCUGCGAAAAGCUCCGGGGAGGCGGCAAAUAUCCUUUGAUCCGGAGAUGUCUGAAUGGGGGAACCCACCUACUUUAAGGUAGGUAUUGCAACAUGAAUACAUAGUGUUGCAAGGCGAACGAGGGGAAGUGAAACAUCUCAGUACCCUUAGGAAAAGAAAUCAAUUGAGAUUCCCUCAGUAGCGGCGAGCGAACGGGGAUCAGCCCAUUAAGUUAUGUGUGUUUUAGUGGAACGCUCUGGGAAGUGCGAACGUAGAGGGUGAUAUUCCCGUACACGAAAGGGCACACAUAAUGAUGACGAGUAGGGCGAGGCACGUGAAACCUUGUCUGAAUAUGGGGGGACCAUCCUCCAAGGCUAAAUACUCCUGACUGACCGAUAGUGAACCAGUACCGUGAGGGAAAGGCGAAAAGAACCCCUGUGAGGGGAGUGAAAUAGAUCCUGAAACCGCAUGCAUACAAGUAGUGGGAGCACCUUCGUGGUGUGACUGCGUACCUUUUGUAUAAUGGGUCAGCGACUUAUAUUCAGUAGCAAGGUUAACCGUAUAGGGGAGCCGUAGAGAAAUCGAGUCUUAAUAGGGCGUUUAGUUGCUGGGUAUAGAC
rnacentral:rRNA from 1 species